rnacentral:rRNA from 1 species
ACGGAAGGCAGCAGUGGGGAAUAUUGGGCAAUGGGCGAAAGCCUGACCCAGCAACGCCGCGUGAAGGAAGAAGGCCUUCGGGUUGUAAACUUCUUUUAGCAGGGACGAAGGACGUGACGGUACCUGCAGAAAAAGCAACGGCUAACUACGUGCCAGCAGCCGCGGUAAUACGUAGGUUGCAAGCGUUGUCCGGAUUUACUGGGUGUAAAGGGCGUGUAGGCGGAGCUGCAAGUCAGAUGUGAAAUGCCGGGGCUCAACCCCGGAACUGCAUUUGAAACUGCAGUCCUUGAGUAUCGGAGAGGCAAGCGGAAUUCCUAGUGUAGCGGUGAAAUGCGUAGAUAUUAGGAGGAACACCAGUGGCGAAGGCGGCUUGCUGGACGAUAACUGACGUUGAGGCUCGAAAGCGUGGGGAGCAAACAGGAUUAGAUACCCUGGUA